rnacentral:rRNA from 2 species
GACUCUCGGCAACGGAUAUCUCGGCUCUCGCAUCGAUGAAGAACGUAGCGAAAUGCGAUACUUGGUCUGAAUUGUGUUAGAAUUUUUUGUCAUAAAACUCGCAGUUUGUAAUCAUAUUCUGUUUCAAUAAAAUUGUUAUUGAGAAAUUAAAUAUUAUAAUCU